GUGUUUUCCGGAAUUUAAAAUAAUUUCUCUUCUAUCAAAUAUUAAUAAAUUUUUCCUAAAUGUCCCUAUUUAGACAUCAAAAAUUCUGAAUUUUCUCCUCAGAGUCUGCAUGAUUUUAUCUUUGGAGUAUUCACUCCAUUUGUUGACUUAGCUCCUUUUCUUGGUGAAAAAGCAAAGGAAGUUAUUUAGUCUGAGUUCUUGGUGUUUUAAAUAAAAUGAAAUUAGAAUACUGCAUGUUUAAUAUGGCAUAGUGGCUAGAUCCCUGGAUCUGGUAUCAGGACCUUUGUUUGAGUCCUCCUACUGUAUACUACCUGUGUUAAUUUGCAUAAUCCUCUUUAUUUUCUUGGGCCUUACUUUGCUCCCCUGAAAAAAGAAUGGUCAGAUCCCUAAUAUUUUUGCUAGUGCUGAGUAUGAUCUGGUAUUAAAAAAAAAAAAAAAUCAUGAAAUAAAAUAACUUUAUCAGCCAUUAGUACAGUAUCUUAUACAUGUAAGUGUUUAAUAAAUCCUUGUUGAUUGGAUAGUGUGGUAUGGUAGGACUUAUAUAGUGCUUUUUAGUUAUGAAAGAUCUUAAGUAGUUUUUCUUUUUUCUUUAAUAUUUUUCUUUUCCUUAGUUAAAUGUCAAAUAAUUUUUUACAUUUGAAUUUAAAACUUUUGAGUUCCAGAUUUUCAGCUUUUCUCCCCAUCCUUCCUAAAUGAGAAAGCAUAUGUGAAGGUAUGCAAAAGUCAUGUUGAGAAAGAAAACAAAUAUCUCUUCCUUAAAUCCCCCUCAAGAAUAACAAACUAAAAAAUAAAAAGUAUGCUUCAGGCUGCAUUUAGACACAAUCAAGUCUUUCUCUGGCCAUGGAUAGAAUUUUUCAUCAUAAGUCUUUCAGAGUAGUCUUGGAUCAUUGUAUUGCUGAGAAUAGCAAAGUCAUUCACAGCUGAUCAUCCUAGAAUGUUGGUAUUACUUUGUACAUAAGUACAUUUCAUUUUGAGUUCAUGGAACAUUUUCCAGGUUUUUCUGAGAGCAUCCUGCUCAUCAUUUCUCAUAUAACAGUAAUACUCCAUUGUAAUCACAUAGCACAAUUUAUUCAGCUAUUUCCCAAUUGUUGGACAUCCCCUCAAUUUCCAGUUCUUUGCCCUGAAAAAAGAGCUGCUAUUUAUAUAUAUUUAAUCUCUUGGAAUUCGUGCUAUUUAAUUGUUUUUUAAAUUUUGAUAUUGAAGUCUACUUGGGUAAGAUAGUAGAGCACAAAUGACAGAUUUUACAAAUUUUUGAGUAUUGGCCAGUCUAAGAAGAGACUCAUUACCAG
rnacentral:lncRNA from 1 species